rnacentral:rRNA from 2 species
AAGUUGUUGCGGUUAAAAAGCUCGUAGUUGGAUCUGUGUGACACGCUGUCGGUUCACCGUUUUGAUGGUGUUUAACUGACAAGUCGUGGCACCUUUUGCCGGUUGGUAACGUGUUCUCCUUCGGGAGUGAUGCGUUUGCCAGUUCCAAUCCUGUCGCGGUGCUCUUCACCGAGUGUCGAGGCGGGCCGGCACGUUUACCUUGAACAAAUUUGAGUGCUUAAAGCAGGCUUAUAUUGCCGGAAAACUGUGUGCAUGGAAUAAUAUAAUAGGACUUCGGUUCUAUUUUGUUGGUUUUCAGAAUCCGAGGUAAUGAUUAAAAGGGCCUGGCGGGGGCAUUAGUAUUGCGACGUGAGAGGUGAAAUUCUUGGACCGUCGCAAGACUAACUGGAGCGAAAGCGUUUGCCAAGAAUGCUUCCAUUAAUCAAGAACGAAAGUUAGAGGUUCGAAGGCGAUCAGAUACCGCCCUAGUUCUAACCAUAAAUGAUGCCAGCCAGCGAUCCGUCGUCGCUCUUUUAUGACGCGACGGGCAGCUUCAGGGAAACUAAAGCUUUUGGGUUCCGGGGGAAGUAUGGUUGCAAAGCUGAAACUUAAAGGAAUUGACGGAAAGGCACCACCAGGAGUGGAGCCUGCGGCUUAAUUUGACUCAACACGGGAAAUCUCACCAGGCCAGAACACCAGGUGGAUUGACAGAUUGAGAGCUCUUUCUUGAUUUGGUGGG